rnacentral:rRNA from 1 species
GACGUAGGGCGCGAGCGUUGUCCGGAUUUAUUGGGCGUAAAGAGCUCGUAGGCGGCUUGUCGCGUCGUCCGUGAAAACCUGGGGCUCAACCCCAGGCUUGCGGUCGAUACGGGCAGGCUCGAGUUCGGUAGGGGAGACUGGAAUUCCUGGUGUAGCGGUGAAAUGCGCAGAUAUCAGGAGGAACACCGGUGGCGAAGGCGGUCCUCUGGGACGAUGUCCUGACGCUGAG